rnacentral:rRNA from 1 species
AUUGAACGCUGGCGGCAUGCUUUACACAUGCAAGUCGAACGGUAACAGGGAGCUUGCUCCGCUGACGAGUGGCGAACGGGUGAGUAAUAUAUCGGAACGUACCCACGAGUGGGGGAUAACGUAGCGAAAGUUACGCUAAUACCGCAUACGAUCUAUGGAUGAAAGCAGGGGACCUUCGGGCCUUGUGCUCCUGGAGCGGCCGAUAUCUGAUUAGCUAGUUGGUGAGGUAAAGGCUCACCAAGGCGACGAUCAGUAGCUGGUCUGAGAGGACGACCAGCCACACUGGAACUGAGACACGGUCCAGACUCCUACGGGAGGCAGCAGUGGGGAAUUUUGGACAAUGGGCGCAAGCCUGAUCCAGCAAUGCCGCGUGAGUGAAGAAGGCCUUCGGGUUGUAAAGCUCUUUUGUCAGGGAAGAAACGGCUGUGGCUAAUAUCCACGGCUAAUGACGGUACCUGAAGAAUAAGCACCGGCUAACUACGUG